UACGGAGGGUGCAAGCGUUAUCCGGAUUCACUGGGUUUAAAGGGUGCGUAGGUGGGCUAGUAAGUCAGUGGUGAAAUCUCCGGGCUUAACCCGGAAACUGCCAUUGAUACUAUUAGUCUUGAAUACCAUGGAGGUGAGCGGAAUAUGUCAUGUAGCGGUGAAAUGCUUAGAUAUGACAUAGAACACCAAUUGCGAAGGCAGCUCGCUACGCGGUUAUUGACACUGAGGCAGGAAAGCGUGGGGAGCAAACAGG
rnacentral:rRNA from 1 species